CAUGAAUAAUAAAAUCUUCAUACAAAUCGAUUUAGAUAACAAUAAGAGAUUAAAUAGAACGGAAUUAUUCAUUUGGUUUAGGACCUUGGAAAGGAGGAGAUUAGCAUUGGAGUCAAUAGAUGAGUGGAAUGACUACGUUAACUUUAUAAAAAAUGGUGAGCUGACAUGGUCUGAUUAUAAAACGGAAACCUUUGAUAAUGAUAAGAAUAAUGAACUAAUGAGACGAGAUAAAAACAGAUGGUUGCUAGCGGAUAAAAAUCAUAGUGGAACGCUAGACUUUGAAGAAUGGCAUGUAUUUUUGCAUCCCGAAGAUUUUAGCUUCAUGUCAAAAGUUGUUGUUGAUGAAGCACUAAAUGAUUUAGACGAAGAUGAUGAUGAAAGAAUCAGCUUACAAGAAUUUAUUGGUAUAAAUCAUAAUACAGAAGAUAUGGAUGAAGAGGAUGAAAAAGAAAUAGAGCAUCUUGAAAGAGAAUUUAGAAACAUUAGAGAUAAAGAUAACGAUGGAUAUUUAAACAGAGAUGAAGUUCGAGAGUGGUCUAUGAUAGAUGAUACAAAAUUUACUGACUCUAAAGUUGAUGAUAUUCUCGAUGAGUUAGACUUAGAUAAGAACGAAAAUUUAGACUCGAAGGAAUUGGUGAACUUUUCAAAACAUUUCGAUAUUGAAGACAGCAGAUUACUAAAUGCUGAAUUAGAUACUUAUAGUAAUCUAUAUAAUUGACACCUACCUAUCGGUUAACGCAUCUUGAUGGCAGAAGGCGGCAUAGGCAAUAGUAUCCCUUUCUCCACACCUAUUAGUUUCUUUCGCGGAAACAUAUAAGAUAAAAUCUCUGUCCAAUAUUCCCGAACCUUCGGUUCCCUCUUCGUGUGUCUCGUACCAAUUUUGUACUUUUUUUGCAACCCGACAUUUCUAAUCAACAAAUUUAACAAUACAACUGUAAUGUCUUUACAUCUAUGAUCUUUUUACUUAAUUUAUUAUACAUUUAAAAUAGGACUGUUUAUUUUUAGCAAGUAUUAAGUAGAUUAAACGCCCUUAUUAUACAAAAUAAGUGUUGUUAGAACUAAUUUUAGUUAAUUUCUCACUUACUUUUAAAUGAUAUUCUGGAAUGGAAAUAUUACCACAAGAAGAUAUCUCUUUACAACCAUCUAAGCAGGAGAAUUCAGGCUUCCCUUUUUCAAAAACAAUCCUAUUUGAUUUGCAUAACCUGCGGAAGAAGAUUAGAUAAGUCAUAGUGGUUGAAUAAUAAAAAUAAUAACAAUUUAUUGGCACCUAGUGAGCAGCAAUUUCUUUAGUGGCUUUUUGACUUUUAAAGCUUUGUUCCAAAAUUUAAUGGCCUCUUCAAUUAGAGUAUUCUGAGGACAGCAGAUAUAAUUAUUAAUAAAAUAUCUAUUAUCAUUCUAUAACUACCUUAACAAGGUUUUCUUUUUGAUUUCCUAAUUUCUUUACGCUAUCGUCGUAUUCAACGCUUAUUCUCAAAUUCUGCAGUUCCGUAGAUCGUUUGUUAAAAUGAUGAUAAAUAUUUUCGGAAUGUGAGAACUGAACGAAAAUAGGAUCAAUAUUAACAUUUUUCCAUAACAGAAUCAUUGUACUCACCUCAUUCUCAUAGAAGUGCACGUUUGGAUAAGUUUUUGGAAAUUUAAAACAUUGAUUAAUACUAAAGAAAUAGAACAAUAAAAAAUAAAAUGUUUUCAUCAUCCCAUUAUAGCCCCCUAAAGAUUCUCUAUAAAAGAUUAUGUUCCGGAAGGCUUUUCAGUCAUAUAAGUUUUACUUUGUUAUUCAUAUUUCGCAUUCGGUAAGAAUUAAUAUUUUAUAAGCUUUUCGUUUUAAAAGAAAAACCUUUCAAUGUUAGAUUCUUAAGAAGGAAACUUUGUUCCACUGACUGGAAUUCGAAUAGUAGUGUUUGCACGCAGGCGACAACCAUUUCCCAACCAAACCCGUGAGAUAGAACUGAGGAAGACUUUGCUGGUCUACACUGCAGCUUCUUCUAAUCGAUUUCGAUCACGUGACCGGUAUUUUGCCUAUACUGGAUUAUUCCAAAAACGCGGUUCACAGUGUAUAGCACUAAACUGGAAACUUUACAACUGGAAACAAAAACAUUGCAG
rnacentral:misc_RNA from 1 species